rnacentral:rRNA from 1 species
GGGCCCGCACAAGCGGUGGAGUAUGUGGUUUAAUUCGAUGCAACGCGAAGAACCUUACCAGGGUUUGACAUCCUGCGAAUCUCUUGGAAACGAGAGAGUGCCUUCGGGAACGCAGUGACAGGUGGUGCAUGGCUGUCGUCAGCUCGUGUCGUGAGAUGUUGGGUUAAGUCCCGCAACGAGCGCAACCCACGUCGUUAGUUGCCAGCAUUUAGUUGGGCAUCUCUAGCGUAGACCGCCGGUGAUAAACCGGAGGAAGGUGUGGAUGACGUCAAGUCAUCAUGCCCCUUCACAUCCUGGGCCACACACGUGCUACAAUGGUAGGUACAGAGGGAAGCCACCCCGCGAGGGGGAGCGGA